UACGUAGGGUGCGAGCGUUGUCCGGAAUUACUGGGCGUAAAGAGCUCGUAGGUGGUUUGUCGCGUUGUUCGUGAAAACUCACAGCUCAACUGUGGGCGUGCGGGCGAUACGGUCAGACUGGAGUACUGCAGGGGAGACUGGAGUUCCUGGUGUAGCGGUGGAAUGCGCAGAUAUCAGGAGGAACACCGGUGGCGAAGGCGGGUCUCUGGGCAGUAACUGACGCUGAGGAGCGAAAGCAUGGGGAGCGAACAGG
rnacentral:rRNA from 1 species